GUUCUAUAAAUCUAUAUACCUCAAUGAUCAUCUAUAUGUUUUUCUCUCCUACAUUCUUCAAGACUUCCAUCAGAAUAUAUAUAGAGUGAAUGAUCUUAAAGCUAGAAAUAUUUCAGCUCACUCAAAUGAUUCUAAAAGAAAGAAAAUGUAAAUGCUUUUGAAAGAAACUGAGCUUAAAAUGAAUCAUUUUCUGUUUAAUAUUUC
rnacentral:lncRNA from 1 species